UGAGACGGACGGAUGAUGCAGCUAUAUCAAUCUCGUAGAUACGCCAAUUCAAAUUCCGAUUUGAGAGCCGAAUACUCUUUUCGCACGAACUGACCCAACCACAUUCACAGCCAUCAGAGACUCACUCGAUGGAUCGACAGGGCUAAACCUUUAUCGGCCGUCGCGUGCUGAUUGACGUAAAGGAAGGUUCUAUGUCCUUGGAAGGACUGAGCAAGAUGGUGAACUUAGAAGCUGGUCCUUUUGGCGUUGUGAAUUGGAUGGUCUGCAUCAUCCUACUAUGGUGACCAUUUUAGUUGGCGUUAUCUGCUCUCUCAGAGGAAGAGGCACCAAUGCAUUUGAAGAUUACCUCUUAGGAGGUCGUCAGAUGUCUUCCUUACCAGUUGCGUUGUCUCUCAUAGCCAGUACCAUCUCUGCGAUUUCCAUGUUAGGCCUUGCCUCUGAGAUGUACUUCUAUGGAUCCCAGUUUGUAAUCAUCCUGGCCGGGUUAUUGUAUGGCACGUUUUUCGUCCAGUUGUUGAUGGUUCCUAUCCUGUAUCCUCUGGACAUUCUAUCUAUUAAUGAGUACAUCACGUUGAGGUUUGGAUCUCAAGGACUGAGGAAACUGUCGUCGGCAACUCUGGUGAUUGGCAAUUUGAUAUACAAUGGGAUCUGUCUGUACGCCCCGUCCCUCACCCCUGUCUACUGUGACAGGGCUCUCCACUAACU